AAUCUGGUUAUAGUGUCUGGAGUCCCCGGUACCAUCAUUUCUUUUAGCAUUAAACAUUUUCUAAUGUUCUAAUGCUAAACAAGAGCCCCAGGCAGUCCAUCCCCUCUGUGCUGCUUUGGCUAAUAAGGAAGUAUUAGCCUGUGCAGCAAUGGGCAACUGUGAUUGGCUGAGAGUGUCAGCUGACUGCUUUUAGCCUGUCAAAGCUCCAACUGA